rnacentral:rRNA from 1 species
UACGGAGGGUGCGAGCGUUGUCCGGAAUUAUUGGGCGUAAAGAGCUCGUAGGCGGUCUGUCGCGUCGGCUGUGAAAUCCCGAGGCUCAACCUCGGGUCUGCAGUCGAUACGGGCAAACUAGAGUAUUGCAGGGGAGACUGGAAUUCCUGGUGUAGCGGUGAAAUGCGCAGAUAUCAGGAGGAACACCGGUGGCGAAGGCGGGUCUCUGGGCCGAUACUGACGCUGAGGAGCGAAAGCGUGGGGAGCGAACAGG